rnacentral:lncRNA from 1 species
CCUCCCUCCCCUCCAGCCCCAAGACCUGCCUGAUUUAUCCUGUGCUGGGAUAGAAACUAGGACUUCAUGCAUGCCGGAUGAACUCGGAAGCCAGAGGCUUUGGACUGUGCACAACUCUAUUACUUACUGGGUUUGUGAAUUUGGUUAGGCCACAGAACCUUUCCGUGCCUCUGAAAUAUCUGUAAAGUAGUGGGUGGCGGCACAGGAGCCUUUCCCUGAUCACGGCUUCAUUUUCUUUCUUUUUUUUUAAUUAAUUUCUUUUUUUUAAAGAUUUAUUUAUUUAUUUAUUAUAUGUAAGUACACUGUAGCUGUCUUCAGACACUCCAGAAGAGGGAGUCAGAUCUCGUGAUUGGAUGGUUGUGAGCCACCAUGUGGUUGCUGGAAUUUGAACUCCUGACCUUUGGAAGAGCAGUCGGGUGCUCUUACCCACUGAGCCAUCUCACCAACCCCCACGGCUUCAUUUUCUACAGUUUCAGUUACCGGUGGCCAACUAUGGCAUUACAGAGACAUUUCAGAAACAAAGACCAGUGUAGUGCCUUACACUUGAAUCCCAGAAUAUCCAUCCAAGAGGCAGAAGCAGGCAGAUUGCUGCCAGGUUGAGCCCAGUCUGGUCUUCAUCAUUCCCGAUCAGGCAGGGUUAAAUAAUGAGAAGUGUCCCAGAAAAUAAAACACACACACACACACAGUCAAAACAAACAAAACCAAAAUAAAUUCUAGAAAUAAACAUUCCAUGAGUUGUAUUUUAUUUUAUAUAUACUUUUUUUAAAUGUUGGGACUGGAGCGAUGAUUCUGUGGUUCAGAGCACUGGUUGCUCUUGCAGAGGAUUGGGGUUCAGUUCUCAGCACCCCACAUGGCAGCUUACAAAUAUUCAUAACUCCAAUUCCAGGGAACUUGGUACCUUAUUUUAACCUUCACAGGCACAAUGCAUACAUGUGGAACAAAUACAUACAUACGUGUGGGCAAAACAUGCAUACACAUAAAACUAAAUAAAUAGUUUUAAGGGCUGCAGAGAUGGUUUAGUAGUUACGGGCACUGGCUGCUGUUUCAGAGGACCCAUGUUUAAUUCCCAGGGCCCACAUGACUGUUCACAACUGUAACUCCAAAGCCUUCUUCUGGCCUCUGUUGGGCAUCUGUACACAGAUGUACAUGUAUGUAAG